GGAGUUAGCCGGUGCUUCUUCUGUGAGUGAUGUCCUUCCUGCCGGCUAUUAACCCGCAGGCCUUCUUCCUCACUGAAAGUGCUUUACAACCCGAAGGCCUUCUUCACACACGCGGCAUGGCUGGAUCAGGGUUGCCCCCAUUGUCCAAUAUUCCCCACUGCUGCCUCCCGUAGGAGUCUGGGCCGUGUCUCAGUCCCAGUGUGGCUGAUCAUCCUCUCAGACCAGCUACGGAUCGUCGCCUUGGUGAGCCGUUACCUCACCAACCAGCUAAUCCGACAUAGGCUCAUCCGAUAGCGCGAGGCCCGAAGGUCCCCCGCUUUCCCCCGUAGGGCGUAUGCGGUAUUAGCCUGGGUUUCCCCAGGUUAUCCCCCACUACCGGGCAGAUUCCUAUGCAUUACUCACCCGUCCGCCGCUCGCCACCAGGGAGCAAGCUCCCCGUGCUGCCGCUCGACUUGCAUGUGUAGCUCGCCGCCGACGCGUCAUCUGAGCAUAAUACAACUACUCGA
rnacentral:rRNA from 1 species